GAUGAACGCUAGCGGCAGGCCUAAUACAUGCAAGACGAACGGUAAGUUGAGUAGCAAUACUUAGCCAAGAGUGUCGUACGGGUGCGUAACACGUAUGCAACCUACCCUAUACAGGAGGAUAGCCUAGGGAAACCUGGAUUAACCCUUCAUAGUAUUAUUGGAUGGCAUCAUUUGAUAAUUAAAACUGAGGUGGUAUAGGAUGGGCAUGCGUCUGAUUAGUUAGUUGGCGGGGUAAUGGCCCACCAAGACGAUGAUCAGUAGGGGUUCUGAGAGGAAGAUCCCCCACACUGGCACUGAGAUACGGGCCAGACUCCUACGGGAGCAGCAGUAGGGAAUAUUGGUCAAUGGAUGCAAGUCUGAACCAGCCAUGCCGCGUGCAGGAAGAAGGCCUUCUGGGUUGUAAACUGCUUUUGCCAGGGGAUAAAAUUUCCAUGCGUGGAAAACUGAAGGUACCUGGUGAAUAAGCCACGGCUAACUACGUGCCAGCAACCGCGGUAAU
rnacentral:rRNA from 1 species